rnacentral:rRNA from 1 species
GGCGUUGAAGCAGUGUAUGUCAGACUUCCAAGAAAAGCUCGCAAUGUCACAAAUAAAAAGUGCCUGUACCAUAACCGACACAGGUGGGUAGGUAGAGUAUACUAAGGGGCGCGAGAUAACUCUCUCUAAGGAACUCGGCAAAAUGACUCCGUAACUUCGGGAGAAGGAGUGCCUUAUUUAUAAGGUUGCAAUAACAAGAUCCAAGCAACUGUUUAUCAAAAACACAGGUCUCCGCUAAGUCGUAAGACGAUGUAUGGGGGCUGACGCCUGCCCAGUGCCAGAAGGUUAAAGAAGUUGGUUAGUGUAUGCGAAGCUGAUGACUGAAGCCCUGGUGAACGGCGGCCGUAACAAUAACGGUCCUAAGGUAGCGAAAUUCCUUGUCGGGUAAGUUCCGACCCGCACGAAAGGCGUAAUGAUUUGGAUACUGUCUCGGAGAGAGGCUCGGUGAAAUAGACUUGUCUGUGAAGAUGCGGACUACCUGCACCAGGACAGAAAGACCCUAUGAAGCUUUACUGUAACUUGAAAUUGGAAUUGGACUUUGCUUGCGCAGUAUAGGUGGGAAGCGUUGAAAAUAUUCUUGCGGGAGUAUUGGAGCUAUCAGUGAGAUACCACUCUUGUAAUGUUAGAUUUCUAACUUUGAACCAUAAUCUGGUCAAAGAACAGUUUCAGGUGGGCAGUUUGACUGGGGCGGUCGCCUCCCAAAUGGUAACGGAGGCGUACAAAGGUUUCCUCUGAACGGAUAGAAAUCGUAUCUAGAGUGUAAAGGCAUAAGGAAGCUUGACUGUGAGACCUACAAGUCGAGCAGGGACGAAAGUCGGUCUUAGUGAUCUGACGGUACUGAGUGGAAAGGCCGUCACUCAACGGAUAAAAGUUACUCUAGGAUAACAGGCUGAUCUCCCCCAAGAGUUCACAUCGACGGGGAGGUUUGGCACCUCGAUGUCGGCUCAUCGCAUCCUGGGGCGGUAGUACGUCCCAAGGGUUGGGCUGUUCGCCCAUGAAAGCGGUACGCGAGCUGGGUUCAGAACGUCGUGAGACAGUUCGGUCCAUAUCCGGUGUAGGCGCUAGAAUAUUGAGAGGAGCCUUCUUUAGUACGAGAGGACCGAGAAGGACACACCGCUGGUGUACCAGUUAUCGUGCCAACGGUAAACGCUGGGUAGCUAUGUGUGGAGUGGAUAACCGCUGAAAGCAUCUAAGUGGGAAGCCCACCUCGAGAUGAGUAUUC